GGCUUCACGAUCUUUGAGUAGUCUUUAACAAACCGGCGGUAAUAACCGCAAACACCCAGGAAGGUUCUUAGCUCCUUCAAGUUGGUUGGUUUUGGCCAGGUUUUUAAUGCUGCUACUUUGUCAGGAUCGGUUUCGAUGCCUUUUUUAGACACAAUGUGGCCGAGGUACUUUACAGAGGUUUGAAAGAACUUGCAUUUCCCUGGCGACAGUUUCAAGCCAAACUCUUUCAAUUGGUUGAGCACGCGCAUCAACCUUUCCUCAUACUCCUCCAGUGUCGAGGAGAAGAUGAUGAGGUCAUCCAGAAAAACUAGGGCCUGCUUCAAGUUCAACUCUCCCAUACAGCGCUCCAUAAGCCACUGGAACAUGCUAGGGGCAUUGGUUAUCCCCUGAGGCAUCCUGUUUAACUCUAAGAAUCCUAGUGGGCAGACGAAUGCAGUUUUGUGUUUGUCUGCUUCCUCCAUCUCUAUUUGAUAGAAGCCUGAUUUGAGAUCGAGCACCGAGAACCACCUGGACCCAGUCAACACCGAGAAGGACUCUUCCAGAUUAGGUAAGGCAUAUGAAUCCUUUAUUGUUUGUGUGUUCCAUUUUCUGUAGUCUUUACAGAGCCUGACGUUGCCAUUCUCUUUCCUGAUGACUACAAUCGGCGAGGAGAAAGGUGACUCCGAUUCCUGAGUGACUUCUGCAUCGAGGAGUUGCUGGAGAUGGGUACGCACAGCCUCUAUGUCCUGGGGGUGUAUAGGUCUUGGCCUAUGUUUGAAUGGCGUCUUGUCACUGAGAGUUGAUUUUGUCAGUGCGGCCAAAGUCUAGCUCGUGCAGUGCAAACACCUCCGGCAUUGAACUCAAUUUCUCUCUUUCCACUUGUUGGGUACAGGAGAGUCAGUGAAGUCAAAGUUGAGAUUUGGCUUUUGGUCAGGUUUUGUGGGGGAGUCUGAGUCAGGGGUCUUGACAGAUUUGACACUCUUGACAGCAUGUAUCUCUGCUAUGACAGCCUUUGGAGACAGGGUGAUGUCAUGGUGUGACUCGUUCUUGAGUAUGACUGGUAUGCAGCGUGGUAGCUUUGGUGGUAGACUUACCAGGCUAUCUGUCACCAGGAUGCCACCAGGUAGGGUCGAUGACUUUGGUGACUCUACCAUCACCCACUUUUCAGUAUAAGGUGUCCUGCAGCUCACUGAUCCUUCAAGGACUUUGGUCUGUCCAGCUGCAAUGGUUCCAAAGGCUGGAAUCAACAGACUGUCUUUUCCGGAUUUCAAGGGUCUUUAGGACGAUUUUGUAGCCAUAAAGAAGAGACUCAAAGUUCUGAGGUGCGAUCUCUGCAUAUUUCUCGUAGAGAACAUCCAUAGUAUUUGUGCCUAUAAGCACCGAUGACAAGGUGGAGCGCAUGUCGGGUACAACCAAGACCAGUGUAGGUACCUCGAUGUCGGCUCUAAGCAAGCUCUCUGGGAAUCUGAUGGUGGCCUCAACGUAGCCAAGGUAAGGGACGCUUUAACUAUUGGCUCCUUCCACUUCAAGCAGGUCGUUCAAAGAACUGAGAGGUAAGUGAGACAAAUUCCCAAAAUAAAAGAGUUGGGGAUCGUUGUUACUUGAUAGCCUGAGUCUAACAAGCAACUGCAGUCUUUGUCAGCGAUGGUCACUUGUGCGGUGCACUUGGCUCCAAUCAGACCUUUUGGCAGGGUCACUGACUGUUUUUGUGUGUGAGAGUACACAAGGCCUCUGUGCAGCUUCUUUUUGGGACAUUUUGUCUGUGUUCCAGUCCCCGUUUGUCCCACAACUGGAACUGGGUCUUGUUUAAAGGAUCAGGCUUUGAAGUGCCAUGUUGACUGUCCCAUGCUAACUGCUUUUCUUUUAGCUGCUUCCUCUUCUCAGCUACAAGACAUGGGUUCGGCUCACUUUCACAUUGAGGCUUGAUGUGUCCGUCCUCUCCACAUCUAAAGCAAUACCAGGAUCUUGAUCUAUUGCUUGUGUUGUUGUUUGAAUCUCGGCUGUGGGGCUGCAGCCUUUGAGAUGUGUGAGUGAUAGUUGGAGAAUGUGUGCUAGCUGUUUGGGGAGCUAGUGGUCUGACAGUUGAUUCAGCUUUUCUACUGUCUCUGUGUGAUACGUGUGAGCUGGGACUGUAAAUCUGACGAACUGUCUGAGAAGAUGCCGGUCAAGGUCCCUUGCAGUUACACCUCCCCUCCUGAGGGUGGUGCUCAGCAUCACCUGCAGCCGUUGAAGAUAAGCUGAGGGUUUCUCACCAUUAUCUUGCAUUGUGUUGAGAUACUUUGCGAAGAGGUCAUCUCUGUCCUCAACGGUGCCGAAAGCGGAGUCUAAGAUCUCUAAGUACACAUCAAGAGGAGAUUCAGGUGCAGGUGCUCCACAAUAUCAAUGGCAGGUGAUACGAGACUUUCAAGAAGCUUCCAUGACUUUUAAAGAUCAGACUGUGUUAUGUCUUUAAGAAGUUCCACGUUGGAGCGCCAUGCCUCAUCGUCCACUUCAUUGUUGGGACGUGGGACAUGCCCAGAGAAGGGUCUGAGUCUCAAGGAAGUGUGCACCUGCAGAGCAGAAUCUUCAUUUCUCACUAUGUGCUCAACGAUUACUUUUUGUAUGUCAGGUGGAUUGACGACAGAAAGUUUCAGAGCAGGCCGUGUCUUUUCUUUAGAUGGUGUUGGUGAUGGAGACCAAUGAUGUUGAACAUGCCGCUCUGGGGCUGUACUGGGCAGGGGGUUUACCUGUGCAGCAUUGUCAGGGUCAUGUUGCUCUGGGGUAUCAGGUGAGUUCUGCUUCAUCUUGGGUCUCUGAGUGAUCUAGGUCAACAGUCUCACUGAUGAGGGACAGCUCUUCUCUGAGGACAGCUGCAAAGUCUUUGCCAGUCUGUUUUGCAAUGUCCUUUCACUCUGAAAGGUAAGUCUGUGUAGCUGUUUUGCUAUCUACAAGUGUGUAAACACUGGCUAAAGCUCUGAUGUGGUAGGUGAUAUCAGUCUUAAUCUUACUGUUAAGUCUGCAUGGCAAUGAAGGUAAGAGAGACUGUAUAGCUGCACCAUACACAUACUCUACAAUAACCUGUUUGCCUGACUCUUGUUCAGUGAUAUCUACUGGAAUUACCCUUUGAAUGGAACCAUAUUGUUUCAGGAAGUCACUUAGUUUGUUGUCAGUUUCUGUACCAGUCAAACCACUAACUAUGACUGAGUUAGGGAGUUUUACACUACUUGUUUGAAUGACAUCCAUAUUGGAACACUGAUAGCAAUAUUAUUCGGUCUCUGGUUUCUAGUUUUAAAUGCUUUAAGCCACUCCUGGCUGGCUCGCCAUGUUUGUAGCACCGGUAUUAGUGGUGUGUCGGUCUUGAAUGAACGGAUCAAAAGAACUAGUUCUUUUUGGUGAACGAAAUGAACUAGUUCUCCCCCCCUAAAUGACCCGUUCAGUCCGUUCAGUUCUUUUGAUUGGCUGAAGAGGGACUAUCUCUGUGCUUGCCUGUCUUAUCCUAUCAUUGCGCCUCGUUCUGUGUGUGGGUGGGGCUUAGAGAAGCAGCAGCAGCACUACUGAGCUGACUGAAAGACCAGGAUGACCGAGUUGACUGAAAGAACGGGUUAAAUGAACGAAAGACCGAGUUGAACGAAAGAUCGAGAUGAACGAAAGACCCAGACCGAUGAACGAGUUGACUGAAAGACCGGGUGAACGAAAGACCCAGACGAUGAACGAGUUGACUGAAAGACCGAGUGAACGAAAGAUCCAGACGGUGAACGAGUUGACUGAAAGACCGAGUGAACGAAAGACCCAGACAGAUGAACGAGUUGACUGAAAGACCGAGUGAACGAAAGACCCAGACGGUGAACGAGUUGAAUGAAAGACCGAGUGAACGUAAGAUCCUGACUGAUGAAUGAGUUGACUGAAAGACCGAGUUGACUGGCCGCAGCACAAGGCCCGGCAGCCGAGACCGAGCGAGCGGGACAGUCACACACACACAAAGGCACACAGCUGCUGCUGCAGCCAGAGGCAGAGAGACAACUAUUAAUACGCAUUUGCACUGUCAGUUGACAUUUUGUACUUUUUAUUAUUGUUUUUAAUGCACCUCAAAAUAAUAAAAACCAUUAAAAACCUUAUAUAUUUUGUUACACCUACUAUAAUUUUAUAUUACAAGGAGUUCAGCGCGAUCGCAGCGUUGGACCGGGGAUGGGAAGUGGGGAGUGCAGCAGUCACAGCGGCGGACCGGGGGGGGGGGUCGUAACGUAGGACCGGGGAGCUGAGACGAUCGCAACGUCGGAUCCGGAGGGGUGUAAUGCUUCAGAUUUCAAGAUCACAUGUUGUUGCGCUGUUGAGUCUGAAGUGCAGUCAGUCCGUUCGCUCAUCACGUUUGUUCAGACGCUGAACGAACGUGAAAAACAUGAACGAGCGGACUGACUAAUGACCGAUUGACCGAAAUGAACGGGUCUUUUUACUGAACGACCCAGAAUGAUCCGGUUCACUGAAAUGAACGGUUUUGCCCACCACUAAAUGGUAUCACACCACUAACUGCGCCACUGGACCAGUUCUAGGCUUUAAGGAGUGGGGAGCAAGAGUAAUAACACCAGAGACUGUUGCUUUAAGUAGAAAAGGCCAGCAAUUUACUGAAUAUAAACACACAUAUAAAAAACAGAGUAUAUGAAACCAAAAAUACCCUGCAGGUUCUCAAUGAUGAGGUAAGUAUAAAUGAAAAAAGUAUUUCACUCUUUCAUUUUGUUCUUGAGUUCACCUAGUUUAUUUUAGUAAAGCUAAUCUAAUUUAAUUAGACCAGUCUGUUUUCUUCUAGGUUAUUUUAGUCAGACUAAUUUGAAUUAGUUAGACCAGUCUCUUUUUCCUAGGUUGUACCUACAGUACAGACCAAAAGUUUGGACACACCUUCUCAUUCAAAGAGUUUUCUUUAUUUUCAUGACUAUGAAAAUUGUAGAUUCACACUGAAGGCAUCAAAACUAUGAAUUAACACAUGUAGAAUUAUAUACUUAACAAAAAAGUGUGAAACAACUGAAAAUAUGUCUUAUAUUCUAGGUUCUUCAAAGUAGCCACCUUUUGCUUUGAUUACUGCGUCGCACAUUCUUGGCAUUCUCUUGAUGAGCUUCAAGAGGUAGUCACCUGAAAUGGUCUUCCAACAGUCUUGAAGGAGUUCUCAGAGAUGCUUAGCACUUGUUGGCCCUUUUGCCUUCACUCUGCGGUCCAGCUCACCCCAAACCAUCUCGAUUGGGUUCAGGUACGGUGACUGUGGAGGCCAGGUCAUCUGGCGCAGCAACCCAUCACUCUCCUUCUUUGUCAAAUAGCCCUUACACAGCCUGGAGGUGUGUUUGGGGUCAUUGUCCUGUGGAAAAAUAAAUGAUGGUCCAACUAAACGCAAACCGGAUGGAAUAGCAUGCCGCCGCAAGAUGCUGUGGUAGCCAUGCUGGUUCAGUAUGCCUUCAAUUUUGAAUAAAUCCCCAACAGUGUCACCAGCAAAGCACCCCCACACCAUCACACCUCCUCCUCCAUGCUUCACGGUGGGAACCAGGCAUGUAGAGUCCAUCUGUUCACCUUUUCUGCGUCGCACAAAGACACCUUGGUUGGAACCAAAGAUCUCAAAUUUGGACUCAUCAGACCAAAGCACAGAUUUCAACUGGUCCAAUGUCCAUUCUUUGUGUUCUUUAGCCCAAACAAGUCUCUUCUGCUUGUUGCCUGUCCUUAGCAGUGGUUUCCUAGCAGCUAUUCUACCAUGAAGGCCUGAUUCACACAGUCUCCUCUUAACAGUUGUUCUAGAGAUGUGUCUGCUGCUAGAACUCUGUGUGGCACUGACCUGGUCUCUAAUCUGAGCCGCUGUUAACUUGCGAUUUCUGAGGCUGGUGACUCGGAUGAACUUAUCCUCCGCAGCAGAGGUGACUCUUGGUCUUCCUUUCCUGGGGCGGUCCUCAUGUGAGCCAGUUUCUUUGUAGCGCUUGAUGGUUUUUGCGACUGCACUUGGGGACAUUUUCAAAGCUUUCCUAAUUUUUCGAACUGACUGACCUUCAUUUCUUAAAGUAAUGAUGGCCACUCGUUUUUCUUUACUUAGCUGCUUUUUUCUUGCCAUAAUACAAAUUCUAACUGUCUAUUCAGUAGGACUAUCAGCUGUGUAUCCACCUGACUUCUGCACAACACAACUGAUGGUCCCAACCCCAUUUAUAAGGCAAGAAAUCCCACUUAUUAAACCUGACAGGGCACACCUGUGAAGUGAAAACCAUUUCAGGUGACUACCUCUUGAAGCUCAUCAAGAGAAUGCAGAGUGUGUGCAAAGCAGUAAUCAGAGCAAAAGGUGGCUAUUUGAAGGCGUAUUUUCAGUUGUUUUACACUUUUUUGUUAAGUAUAUAUUUCCACAUGUGUUAAUUCAUAGUUUUGAUGCCUUCAGUGUGAAUCUACAAUGUCAAUAGUCAUGAGAAGAAAAGAAACUCAUUGAAUGAGAAGGUGUGUCCAAACUUUUGGUCUGUACUGUAUUUUAGGAUUCCUAUUUUUCUUCCUCGGUUAACUCUUUUUUUUUUCUUUCUUUUACAGGUAAGAAAACACCUUAAUCACAAAUAAAUCAAAGUGGACCACAGUUAUUCAAAUCACAUUCAAAAAAAUAAACUCAAUAAAAAAUUAAAAGUAUGACACUUUAAAUUUAAGUUCAAGUCCAAAUGUGAAUUCAAGUGUUCAGUUCAAUGAAAAGUUUCAGUUCAAUUCAGUCCAAAAAUAAUAAUUCAAUCAGUUCUCAGUUUUGUUCAGUUCAGUUCAAACUAGUUCCUGAUACUCCUACCACUGUGGCAAGGAGUUACCACACGCAGGAGAUUCCCUCACGAUGCGAUGGAGAAGAUGAGUUGAAGGUCUGGGUCUGGCUCGCCAUCUUGAAUCCCGUCUGUGAAUGUGCAUGCCUGCACAUGGCAGACCAAUCCUUGCUCCGACCGAGCUUCCAACCAUGCAAAAAAACCUGACCUGUGUAACAGGCCAUAAACACAAUAAAACUCUUUUUAAAUCCUCAAAUUACACAAUUAAAUGCUUCACAGUCUCUGAGUUGUAAUGUUUCUGCUACGGUGUUAUUUCAACUCAAAAUGGCAGCGGAGUGGUCUCUUUUAUCUCAUAGCUCUGUCUCCUGUAGCAAUUACUGCACAAAUUUUCUAUUUAGUCAGCUUACACACACUUUUAUAACAUUCACAGUCUUCAUAAACCCAAAAUAUUAACUGGAUAACAGUUUAUGAUGGAGUAUUUCUUUGUAAACAGCUACGUUUUUAGUGUUAGCUCUUCGGCAGAGAAAAAAAACAACAACACUGUGAAAAUGCAUGAAAAUAAACACAAAACUGAAAAAAAUACGAUGUGGCUUAGUUCUCAUAAAAUCCCCGUCAGUUCCCGACCAGGUAAGUUAUGGUUUUCAACUGUUUUAUCGACUUUUUCACUGCUUUUUCUGUUAAUUAAUCACCGCUCGUCUUCUCUGGUUUCUCCUCUGCUCUCUCCCUCAGGUAGUGAUGUGUCGAGUAAUGAAGGGGGCGUUUCCGCAAAACGCUUAUUGAGGUUUGCUUCAUGUAGGGGUGGAGCCAAAAAUGAUGACGUCCGAAGCCUUGCUACCUGGCUGUACCACGUGACUGAUUCAAGAAACGGUUCGCGGGUUUGGUUAAUGAAUUGACAGGCAGCGAAAUGCAAUGGAAUCCUCCCCCACUCACAAUCCAUAGACUCGAGACUUGAUGAAAAGUUUUUAAAUAAAAAUAAAUAAAUAUAAAUGAAAUGUUUAUGUUUUAUGUUGUCCCUGUAACAAAAGUACGUACAACAAACUAAGUAACACAAGCACAUUCACAUCACAGCCCCUUUUUGACAUUGCAACUGUGUCUUAAAGACAGACACCAUGUUAAUAACUUCAUCAUUUCUGUAUUGUAUAAUAUAAUAAUAAUAUAAUAUAAUAUAAUAUAAACACACGGCAUCACAUCCAUUCAUUCAUUCAAUUCAAAGCUUUGCGCACCCAAGCCUCAGGGCUUUUUUUUCGUGUAUGCCUGUGAGGCGGCGGAGGGUGGCGGACCCCGCACAGUUGUAUUUUCGUCUAGCGGAGCCCGGCGUACAGCCAGUUUGGUAUUUUCAUGGACUGAGGCGCACGGAGGCGAACAGAGAUCCGCCAAGCUGGGCGUGGUGGCGUGGCAGGACUACAUCUUCCCCUCCCUGAGUGUGAGUCCUGCAGUAGGAGAAUGGAGGGAGGAGAGUGGACUGUUGCUGUCCUUAAAGAGACCAGUACUGGGAGCCUUCAGCUCCUGCACAGGGAAGCAGCUGUACCUUAGCUGUGUGAAGGCACUGAACCUGCGCUCCCUCACUGGAGUCAGAGAGUCUAGGUGGACAGCGGUUUUUGGCUCAGACUUUUCCCCUGAUGGCAACUGGAGGGUCCUGUGUAAGCCUCCUGUUGAGAAACAAAUGGCAGAUCUCCAAUGGAGGAUUAUACAUGGAGCGAUAGCAACAAACAGGUAUAGAGCUCAUCUUGAUCCAGACACUGGGGAGGAUGUCCCUUCUUCUCACAGUCAGAGACCAUAGAGCACCUGGUGCUGCCCUGUCCCAGACUGGCAGCUCUUUUUAAAGCGGUGCAGGAGUGGAUGGGGGGUUUGGGGGAGGUUUUCUCUUUCCCACUCUUUGUCUUUGGACCCAAAUACACUCCCAAGAAAAAGA